rnacentral:rRNA from 1 species
CCUACGGGUGGCUGCAGUGGGGAAUAUUGGACAAUGGGGGCAACCCUGAUCCAGCCAUGCCGCGUGUGUGAAGAAGGCCCUCGGGUUGUAAAGCACUUUCAGUGAGGAAGAACGCCUGGUGGUUAAUACCCAUCAGGAAAGACAUCACUCACAGAAGAAGCACCGGCUAACUCCGUGCCAGCAGCCGCGGUAAUACGGAGGGUGCGAGCGUUAAUCGGAAUUACUGGGCGUAAAGCGCGCGUAGGUGGCUUGAUAAGCCGGUUGUGAAAGCCCCGGGCUCAACCUGGGAACGGCAUCCGGAACUGUCAAGCUAGAGUGCAGGAGAGGAAGGUAGAAUUCCCGGUGUAGCGGUGAAAUGCGUAGAGAUCGGGAGGAAUACCAGUGGCGAAGGCGGCCUUCUGGACUGACACUGACACUGAGGUGCGAAAGCGUGGGUAGCAAACAGGAUUAGAUUCCCCUGUAGUC